UAUUCUGCCCAUGCGGGAAGGAUGAGAAGCUUCGACCAGGUUCGACUCGAGCGCCAGCGAGAGAACGUUGCCGCAGGCAACGGCCCGAAGGGUGAGCAGCUUUAGCUGCGAAUAAUCCUUCCCCCACCACCA
rfam:Raoultella ornithinolytica strain S12, complete genome.